GGUACUCAGUUCGGAUCGCAGUCUGCAACUCGACNGCGUGAAGGUGGAGUCGCUAGUAAUCGCGGAUCAGCAACGCCGCGGUGAAUGCGUUCCCGGGCCUUGUACACACCGCCCGUCAAGUCAUGAAAGUGGGCAGCACCCGAAGACGGUGGCCUAACCCUUGUGGGGGGAGCCGUCUAAGGUGAGGCUCGUGAUUGGGACUAAGUCGUAACAAGGUACC
rnacentral:rRNA from 1 species